rnacentral:rRNA from 1 species
UACGUAGGGGGCAAGCGUUGUCCGGAUUUAUUGGGCGUAAAGAGCGUGUAGGCGGUUUGGUAGGUCCGUUGUGAAAACUCGAGGCUCAACCUCGAGACGCCGAUGGAAACCAUCAGACUAGAGUCCGGAAGAGGAGAGUGGAAUUCCUGGUGUAGCGGUGAAAUGCGCAGAUAUCAGGAGGAACACCGAUGGCGAAGGCAGCUCGCUGGGACGGUACUGACGCUGAGGCGCGAAAGCGUGGGGAGCAAACAGG